rnacentral:rRNA from 1 species
GACGAACGCUGGCGGCGUGCUUAACACAUGCAAGUCGAACGGAAAGGCCCUGCUUUUGUGGGGUGCUCGAGUGGCGAACGGGUGAGUAACACGUGAGUAACCUGCCCUUGACUUUGGGAUAACUUCAGGAAACUGGGGCUAAUACCGGAUAGGAGCUCCUGCUGCAUGGUGGGGGUUGGAAAGUUUCGGCGGUUGGGGAUGGACUCGCGGCUUAUCAGCUUGUUGGUGGGGUAGUGGCUUACCAAGGCUUUGACGGGUAGCCGGCCUGAGAGGGUGACCGGCCACAUUGGGACUGAGAUACGGCCAGACUCCUACGGGAGGCAGCAGUGGGGAAUAUUGCACAAUGGGCGGAAGCCUGAUGCAGCAACGCCGCGUGCGGGAUGACGGCCUUCGGGUUGUAAACCGCUUUCGCCUGUGACGAAGCGUGAGUGACGGUAAUGGGUAAAGAAGCACCGGCUAACUACGUGCCAGCAGCCGCGGUGAUACGUAGGGUGCGAGCGUUGUCCGGAUUUAUUGGGCGUAAAGGGCUCGUAGGUGGUUGAUCGCGUCGGAAGUGUAAUCUUGGGGCUUAACCCUGAGCGUGCUUUCGAUACGGGUUGACUUGAGGAAGGUAGGGGAGAAUGGAAUUCCUGGUGGAGCGGUGGAAUGCGCAGAUAUCAGGAGGAACACCAGUGGCGAAGGCGGUUCUCUGGGCCUUUCCUGACGCUGAGGAGCGAAAGCGUGGGGAGCGAACAGGCUUAGAUACCCUGGUAGUCCACGCUGUAAACGGUGGGUACUAGGUGUGGGGUCCAUUCCACGGGUUCCGUGCCGUAGCUAACGCUUUAAGUACCCCGCCUGGGGAGUACGGCCGCAAGGCUAAAACUCAAAGGAAUUGACGGGGCCCCGCACAAGCGGCGGAGCAUGCGGAUUAAUUCGAUGCAACGCGUAGAACCUUACCUGGGUUUGACAUGGAUCGGAAGCGCUCAGAGAUGGGUGUGCCUCUUUUGGGGUCGGUUCACAGGUGGUGCAUGGCUGUCGUCAGCUCGUGUCGUGAGAUGUUGGGUUAAGUCCCGCAACGAGCGCAACCCUUGUUCACUGUUGCCAGCACGUUAUGGUGGGGACUCAGUGGAGACCGCCGGGGUCAACUCGGAGGAAGGUGGGGAUGACGUCAAGUCAUCAUGCCCCUUAUGUCCAGGGCUUCACGCAUGCUACAAUGGCUGGUACAGAGAGUGGCGAGCCUGUGAGGGUGAGCGAAUCUCGGAAAGCCGGUCUCAGUUCGGAUUGGGGUCUGCAACUCGACCUCAUGAAGUCGGAGUCGCUAGUAAUCGCAGAUCAGCAACGCUGCGGUGAAUACGUUCCCGGGGCU